AUUCCCUGCUCAGGCGUCGCCCUUCGUGCUGGGACUGCGGCCUGCUGAGCCCCAGGGCAGCCAGUCUGCCGGGGAGGGACACAGAGGCCUUGUUAUAAAGUCAUUUACUUCCAUGAUACUUCUCGAAGACUGAACUUUGAGGAAGCCAAAGAAGCCUGCAGGAGGGAUGGAGGCCAGCUAGUCAGCAUCGAGUCUGAAGAUGAACAGAAACUGAUAGAAAAGUUCAUUGAAAACCUCUUGCCAUCUGAUGGUGACUUCUGGAUUGGGCUCAGGAGGCGUGAGGAGAAACAAAGCAAUAGCACAGCCUGCCAGGACCUUUAUGCUUGGACUGAUGGCAGCAUAUCACAAUUUAGGAACUGGUAUGUGGAUGAGCCAUCCUGCGGCAGCGAGGUCUGCGUGGUCAUGUACCAUCAGCCAUCGGCACCCGCUGGCAUCGGAGGCCCCUACAUGUUCCAGUGGAAUGAUGACCGGUGCAACAUGAAGAACAAUUUCAUUUGCAAAUAUUCUGAUGAGAAACCAGCAGUUCCUUCUAGAGAAGCUGAAGGUGAGG
rnacentral:lncRNA from 1 species